ACGCACGCUGGCGGCGUGCUUCACCCAUGCCAGUCGAACGGAAAGGCCCUGCUUUUGUGGGGUGCUCGAGUGGCGAACGGGUGAGUAACACGUGAGUAACCUGCCCUUGACUUUGGGAUAACUUCAGGAAACUGGGGCUAAUACCGGAUAGGAGCUCCUGCUGCAUGGUGGGGGUUGGAAAGUUUCGGCGGUUGGGGAUGGACUCGCGGCUUAUCGGCUUGUUGGUGGGGUAGUGGCUUACCAAGGCUUUGACGGGUAGCCGGCCUGAGAGGGUGACCGGCCACAUUGGGACUGAGAUACGGCCCAGACUCCUACGGGAGGCAGCAGUGGGGAAUAUUGCACAAUGGGCGGAAGCCUGAUGCAGCAACGCCGCGUGCGGGAUGACGGCCUUCGGGUUGUAAACCGCUUUCGCCUGUGACGAAGCGUGAGUGACGGUAAUGGGUAAAGAAGCACCGGCUAACUACGUG
rnacentral:rRNA from 1 species